UACGUAGGGACCGAGCGUUGUCCGGAUUCAUUGGGCGUAAAGAGCUCGUAGGCGGCUGUUCAAGUCGAACGUGAAAACUCGGAGCUCAACUCCGAGCCUGCGUUCGAUACUGGAUGGCUAGAGUCUGGUAGGGGGAUCUGGAAUUCCUGGUGUAGCGGUGGAAUGCGCAGAUAUCAGGAGGAACACCGGUGGCGAAGGCGGGAUCCUGGGCCGGUAUUGACGCUGAGGCGCGAAAGCUAGGGGAGCAAACGGG
rnacentral:rRNA from 1 species